AAGGUAUGGACGCAGUCUGACCAGCCAUGCCGCGUGGAGGAUGAAGGUCCUCUGGAUUGUAAACUUCUUUUAUCUGGGACGAAAAAAGGGAAUUCUUUCUCGUCUGACGGUACCAGAUGAAUAAGCACCGGCUAACUCCGUGCCAGCAGCCGCGGUAAUACGGAGGGUGCAAGCGUUAUCCGGAUUCACUGGGUUUAAAGGGUGCGUAGGCGGGUAUGUAAGUCCGUGGUGAAAUCUCCGAGCUUAACUCGGAAACUGCCAUGGGUACUGCGUAUCUUGAAUGUUGUGGAGGUGAGCGGAAUAUGUCAUGUAGCGGUGAAAUGCUUAGAUAUGACAUAGAACACCAAUUGCGAAGGCAGCUCACUACACAAAUAUUGACGCUGAGGCACGAAAGCGUGGGGAUCAAACAGGAUUAGAUACCCUGGUAGUCCACGCCCUAAACGAUGAUUACUCGACAUACGCGAUACACAGUGUGUGUCUGAGCGAAAGCAUUAAGUAAUCCACCUGGGAAGUACGACCGCAAGGUUGAAACUCAAGGAA
rnacentral:rRNA from 1 species